rnacentral:rRNA from 1 species
CUGAAUAACUACUCCGAUCGCACGGUCUCGCACCGGCGACGCAUCUUUCAAGUGUGUGCCUUAUCAACUGUCGAUGGUAGUUUAUGUGCCUACCAUGGGUGUAACGGGUAACGGCAAUAAGGGUUCGACUCCGGAAAGGGAGCCCGAGAAACGGCUACCACAUCCAAGGAAGGCAUUUGGCGCGCUGAUUACCCACUCUCACCACCAGGAGGUAGUGACGAAAAAUAACGAGACGGAUCUCUUUGAUGCCCGUUAUCGGAAUGAGAACAAUUCAAAUCCUUUAACGAGGAUCUAGCGGAGGGCAAGUCUGGUGCCAGCAGCCGCGGUAAUUCCAGCUCUCCAGGCGUAUAUCUAUGCUGCUGCGGUUAAAGAG